rnacentral:rRNA from 1 species
AACGUAGGUGGCAAGCGUUAUCCGGAAUUACUGGGCGUAAAGGGUGUGCAGGCGGGGGGGCAAGUGGGGGAUGAAAUAUCCCAGCUUAACUGGGAGGGGUUAUGCCAGACUGCUACUCUAGAGGACGAGAGAGGGGCGUGGAAUUCCGGGUGUAGUGGUGAAAUGCGUAGAGAUCCGGAGGAACCCCAGAGGCGAAGGCGACGCCCUGGCUCGUACCUGACGCUCAGCCACGAAAGCAUGGGGAGCGAACGGG